CUAAUAUUGAAGGCACUGCCUGCCCAGUGACAUAUGUUCAACGGCCGCGGUAUCCUGACCGUGCAAAGGUAGCAUAAUCACUUGUUCUUUAAUUAAGGACUUGAAUGAAUGGCUACACGAAGGUUCAACUGUCUCUUACUUUCAGUCAGUGAAAUUGACCUUCCCGUGAAGAGGCGGGGAUAUAAUAAUAAGACGAGAAGACCCUAUGGAGCUUAAAUAACCUAAUCCAAAUAAAUUCACUCUGAUCCCUAUUACUAGGAAUAAAAAAAUAAUUCAUGGAUUAUAGAUUUCGGUUGGGGUGACCUCGGAGCAUAACUAAACCUCCGAACAAGUUUAACCCAGACAUAACCAGUCAAAGUAAGAAUAUUUACCAAUUGACCCAAAUUAUUUUGAUCAAUGGAACAAGUUACCCUAGGGAUAACAGCGCAAUCCUAUUACAGAGUCCAUAUCGACAAUAGGGUUUACGACCUCGAUGUUGGAUCAAGACACCCUAAUGGUGUAGCCGCUAUUAACGGUCCGUUUGUUC
rnacentral:rRNA from 1 species